UGGAUAUGUGAUGUUUUUCCGAGGUUUCUGGCAAGUAUCACACCUCUGACCAUGAUCUCAACAGGAGGACUUGAGCCAAAUGUUCCCCCAUUGGUUUUUCUCCUCUAAUAUAUGAGCUUGUAGCAGACCUUAAAUCAUGGUUUGGUAAUGUAUUUAAAGCUAUGACUUUAAUAGUCCUGAAAUGCUCAGUUUUUUUCUAGAAUGAUAAUGAAAUAAAUUGACUAAUAGCUGUGAAUUCUUCAAAACAGAUGUUGGUGGAGGGCUUUUCUCAUUGCACAAAUCCAGGCAGAAAUUCAUACAGAGUACAACCUGGAAGGUGGCCCUGGAGUUGUACAACCAUUCAGCUCUCAAUAGUUAAAGUUUAAGAUAUAUCAGAAGUCAGUGUGUAACCUUUUAUGAUGAGCACUAAAUUUUAUUCUUCAGGAGUAAAAUUAGUUGGUAGCUAUUCAAGAGGUCAUUACAUAAAUUUUAUGAUUUUAUGAAUCCUUAUUUUUGGCAUUUUUAGUGAAAUGGUUUGGUAAGAUGAUUUCCUAACAAGUUUAAACCCAUACAAAUAACUUACAGAUCAUAAUUUUGAAAAUACUCAAAAUCUUGCACAAGAAAUCAUGGAAAUACAUUGCCAUUUCAUAAUCAUCAGUGGGGCACAAGAAGUUUUCAAUAAACUCCAACCUUGCCUGCUCCCUCCUGGUACCAUGCAUAUCUCAUCUAUCAGAUGGCCUUCUCAGUGGAGGAGCGCCUUUGUCUUUAUAAAAGUCACAGAAAAAUAGUAUUGGAAUAGAUUCAGUCUCCUCUGAUACAUCUGGGCCUGUGCCGUACUUGACAUGCACAUAUAUAUAAUGCCUCAUCAUAUUUUUAAUUAUUUCAUUGGAUUAAGCAAAGAAAUGCUUAUUUCUAGAGGCAUUACUAUAUAUUAUGAAAUUCAUAAUUGUUAUUGCAUUAGCUUUAUACUGCUUAACUGCCCAUCAGACAUGUUAUACUUCAGUGAUGGUGAAUGAAAAAUCGGUUGUCAUUAACCCUAACCAGCACUGAGUCUUGUCAUUUUUGCUACUUCUAUUUAAUUUGUACAAAAUAAAAUCCAGAGGCUUAAGUCCUUAAGUAGCUUGAUCACGUGCCUUCUAGUACAGGUUUCAUGAAAAACUCCCUAAUUGAUUCGUAUUUGAAUAUGAAAUUCAGUAUUUGUAUAUCAAAAUGCAGUGGAAAUAUUUUCCCAGAGCACUCUAACACUGAGCAGAAAUUCUUACUCUAGGAGAUCAAGAAUUCAGCUCCUUUCUCUUUGUCUACGUUAUUUCUCUUAUUUUUGAACAUGAUAACUUCUAUUUUCCUUAAAAAAUAAUUUUCAGUAUAGACAAUACUGGAUAAGUAAAUACGCAUUAUUUAUAGGAAGUCUAGUAACUAACAUGUGCUCUAUCUACUAAUCCGAUAGCAAUAGAAAGUGCUCCACAGUGACAAAAACUCAUCAGGAUAUUGCGGAGACACAGGUGGUAAAAUUCAGGAAGUUUAAUAAAAAUUCAUUUUGGGGAGUUUGUCAUGGCUCAGUGGUUAACAAACCCGACUAGUAACCAUGAGGUUGCGGGUUCGAUCCCUGGCCUCACUCAGUGGUUAAGGAUCUGGCAUUACCAAGAACUGUGGUGUAGGCCGGUGGCUACAGCUCCGAUUCGACCUCUAGCCUGGGAACCUCCACAUGCUGCAGGUGCGGCCCUAAAAAGACAAAAAAGAAGACCCCCAAAAAAUUCUUAUUGGAUUAAACAAUAAAAAUGAAAAUAAUAUUCAGUAAGAAACUUCUCAGCAAGACUGAUAAAUUAGAAUGACAUGAGUAGGGAAGAAACUGCAGGAAAGAAUGACAUUAGAUUCCCUUUCUAAUAGAAUUUUUGCUUCAAAAUAAUUCAAUGAAAAAUUUAUGCACAUGUUCACAAGCAUAUGUGCACGUGUACACACACAAACACACACUUUCUCAAAACUCCAAAUAGUGUCUGCAUAAGUUUUUAUCUUUUGCUUGGCAAAACAGAUGUCCACCUUUUUUCAGUCCGUUUCUAAGUCUUGUGUAGUUUAUACAUAUACAUGAUAAACAUUUUAGAUAGGGAUGGCUCAAAUAGUCACAUAUCUCCACAUCAUUUAUUCUCCCAUGUAUUUAACAUAAAUCCUAAUUUUGAAAUUAAUUCCUUUUGCUCCAGUCACCUUUUUUGUUCAGUUUUAUUUAUUCAUUCUGCAAGUUCUAUUAUCAGUGAAAUUGUUAAGUAAAGUGCGAUGUACGAUUGGCUCAAAAGUAUCAGUAGUAUAGCAACUAUUAGAAAGCAUGGUUCUAAUUAUAUUUUUACUGGCAGUCCAAUCUUUAUGUAAGAAAGGCUGUGCCAUAUAUUCUGAUAUGGGUUGCAAUACUUACCAAACAAGGUGGAUGGGUGAGAAGAAGUGUAAUUCAGAAAUAUUCAUACACAGGUAAAUUCUCCACUUCAUAUCUCAUAUUUCUCAAGCAUUCAUUAUUAUUAGAAGCAAGGAUAUAAAUUGCAACUUCUCUGACUCCUUGAGUAUUUAUACAUGGCUGUAGCAUUCCUACUGCCCUAGAGGGAUUUUGUUUCUUAGGCUCCAUUUAUUGAUAGAAUUUUGGAAAAGGUAACUAGCCAACUUAUAAUAAUUUAGAGAACUAGGUUAUUAGCCCCUAAAGUUUACAUAUUCCUGGAUUGAUAGAGUUUCUUGUAUUUCUGUAAAUAAUGAUCAGUGUCCCACUUCUUGCAUAACCAAGAAAUAUCUUAUAGGAUCUAAACCUACUGGGGAUAAGAAUUGUAAACUCUGAACAAUUUUUUUAAAAAAAGAAAUAAUGAUGCUAAAAAUGAACAACAGCAGAAAGAUUUUUUUCAGGAAUAAAAAUCUCAGGGGGGGAAAGGAUAGUUUAGCUCAGAUGAUUUUCUAUUUCUAAAGCUUUUGGUCAAAGAUAUACUGCACAUAUAUCAGCUAAAAUUUUGACAGAAAACCUCAGAACUUUGUGCCUUGAAGAACCAGAGAAGAGACUUAGAGGCAACUAACAGCUGUUUUAAAGUGAGGGUGAGUCAAUAAAAAUGAGAACCAGAGAAAGGAAUCGCUAUAUUUUGUGUUAUAAACUGCCAAAUUUGGUUUCACUCUUGAACCACAUAUACUUCUGAUAGCCUCCAGAAAAGGAUAAAGAGACAAAAAUAAAAUCAUAUUUGAGAAUCAGAAUUUAGAUUCCUGCUAAAUUGCCUGCUAAAAUUACAAAAUUUAAGAUGUUCUGAAAUGAAUAAAACAGAAUACUCAGCCUCCAGCCUCCACAGUAUUUCAUUGCUCAACAUACAUUCCAAAAUAACUCUGCAUAUGAAGAACCAAAAAGAUCUGACCCAUUUCAAAUAGGAAAAAACAAUCCCGAGACAAUCCAUAUAUUAUAAUUAGCAGGCAAGUAUUUUAUAGCAAUUAUAAAAAUAUUCCAGGAUAUAAGAGAAAGUAUGCUCACAAUGAAUAAACAGGAACUAGAAAAGAAAUGGAAACUAUAAAAGGAAACAAAUGGGCAUUAUUUACAUGAAAAACACAAUAUAUGAAAUUUAAAAAGGAAACCCAACAAAUAAUAUGGGCAAGAGAAAGUCAGCAAAAUUUGAGAGAAAAAAUAGAAAAAUUGAAAAAAACAAAUGAAAACCAAAGCCUCAAGAAUGUGUGGAGCUACAACAAAAGAUCUAACAUAUGUGUAACUGGAGUCCCAGUAGAAGAUAGGAGAAAGAAUUGAGCAGAUGAUGUAUUUGAAGAAAUAAUAUCCAUUAUUAUAUUCAUUUUGUAAAAUAUGUAAAUCUAAAGAUACACAAAGUUUUGCAAAUAUCAUGCAGGAUAAAUAUGAAGAAAAUUAUGCUCAAGGCACAUCAUAGUCAGAACAUUAAAUGCUAAGAAUAUAAAAAAACUUG
rnacentral:lncRNA from 1 species